GGCUUUAUAGUGGAAAAAAGACGUCAAAUUGCAAAUUUGAAAAUGUGUAAUUACUAAAGCUU
rnacentral:tRNA from 1 species